rnacentral:rRNA from 1 species
GGGUUGCGGACAGUGUCUGGUGGGUAGUUUGACUGGGGCGGUCUCCUCCUAAAGAGUAACGGAGGAGCACGAAGGUCAGCUAAUCCUGGUCGGACAUCAGGAGGUUAGUGCAAUGGCAUAAGCUGGCUUGACUGCGAGCGUGACGGCGCGAGCAGGUGCGAAAGCAGGUCAUAGUGAUCCGGUGGUUCUGAAUGGAAGGGCCAUCGCUCAACGGAUAAAAGGUACUCCGGGGAUAACAGGCUGAUACCGCCCAAGAGUUCAUAUCGACGGCGGUGUUUGGCACCUCGAUGUCGGCUCAUCACAUCCUGGGGCUGAAGUAGGUCCCAAGGGUAUGGCUGUUCGCCAUUUAAAGUGGUACGCGAGCUGGGUUUAGAACGUCGUGAGACAGUUCGGUCCCUAUCUGCCGUGGGCGCUGGAGAAUUGAGGGGGGCUGCUCCUAGUACGAGAGGACCGGAGUGGACGCAUCACUGGUGUUCGGGUUGUCAUGCCAAUGGCAUUGCCCGGUAGCUAAAUGCGGAAGAGAUAAGUGCUGAAAGCAUCUAAGCACGAAACUUGCCCCGAGAUGAGUUCUCCCUGACUCCUUGAG